AAGACCUUGCGCUUUUGGAGCGGCCGAUGCCUGAUUAGCUAGUUGGUGGGGUAAUGGCCUACCAAAGCUUCGAUCAGUAGCUGGUCUGAGAGGACGGCCAGCCACACUGGGACUGAGACACGGCCCAGACUCCUACGGGAGGCAGCAGUGGGGAAUUUUGGACAAUGGGCGCAAGCCUGAUCCAGCCAUGCCGCGUGAGUGAAGAAGGCCUUCGGGUUGUAAAGCUCUUUCAGCCGGGAAGAAAAGGUUGCGAUUAAUAAUCGCAAUUUAUGACGGUACCGGAAGAAGAAGCACCGGCUAACUACGUGCCAGCAGCCGCGGUAAUACGUAGGGUGCGAGCGUUAAUCGGAAUUACUGGGCGUAAAGGGUGCGCAGGCGGUUUUGUAGGUCAGAUGUGAAAUCCCCGGGCUUAACCUGGGAACU
rnacentral:rRNA from 1 species